CUUAAUAGUGAGAAAAACUAUUUGUUCAAAAAAUUAAAUUAUUAAAAUGGUUAAGACAAUAAAGCUAAGCAUUGAAAUAGGAGCGGAAAUCAUUAACAAAUUCAAGAACGGUAUUUCGGCUUCAGAUUUGGCAAAAUUUUACCAAACUUCACGAAAACCGUUUACAAAGAAGGAAACCUAUGGAAAUUUAGCAAAUAAAGCAAGGACUGCGCGCAAGCCAAUUACUAACUAUAGAGAUAGUCCUGUUGUCCUCCCAAAAUUGAUUGGAAAAUCAGUAAGUGGAGCAACAGUACGGCGCAGAUUAAAAAGUACAAAAAUCAAAACUUUCGUAUUCAGGGUGCAUUUGGAAGAACAUUUAUGUAUUUGCCACAAAACUUACGUGGUAGAGCAAUGCAGCCUCUUAACAGUUCGAAGACAGUUCAGUUAUGUGUUGGCGGUGCGUUUCCUUUUACGAGUAUGGAGAGCUCGUGCCCGUUGACGGUACUCUAAUCCCAGCCGGAUACAUUGGCAUUCUUAAUAAUCAUGCAUUCACAUCAGCCAACAACCUUUUCUCAACCAAAGAUAGGAUUUUACAACACGAUUACGCACCAUGUCACAAGGUUUGGCUACCUACAAAAUUUUUGAGUGGAGUAAAUCAAACUGUUCUGCCUUGGCCACCUCAAAGUCCAGAUCUAAACAUUAUUGGAAAUGUUUGGUUUUUAUCAAAAAACAACGACCAUUCAAUAAGAAUAAGAAAAGAUACUACACAAUCGAAGAAAUUAGGGAUAUUUUGGAUAAGCUGACAAUUCCAUUUCUACACAAAUUGAUUGACUCCAUUCCUUCCAGGCCGCAAGCAGUAAUCGAUGCCAAAGGCAAUGAAACGGAAUCUUAACCAAUUACUCUGGACGCCAGGAAGCAUAAAUUCAAGCGCUUGCUUUAUUGUGUACCGUUGUUUUCUUUGAAUUUGCACUAUUUAUCUUCGCAUACUCUAAAGAUUUCAACAACAGAAACAUUUUUCAAUGCAGUUGUGUAACAAGAAACAAAAUCUCUCUAAUAAAUAGGGUGACAAUUUCAA